ensembl:rRNA 5S_rRNA 5S ribosomal RNA
AUCUACAGCCAUACUACCUUGAACGCACCCAAUCUCAUCUGAUCUUGGAAGCUAAGCGGGGUUGGGCCUGGUUAGUACUUGGAUGGGAGAACACCCGGGAAUACCAGGUGCUGUAGGCU